rnacentral:rRNA from 1 species
GACGAACGCUGGCGGCGUGCUUAACACAUGCAAGUCGAACGGAAAGGCCCUGCUUUUGUGGGGUGCUCGAGUGGCGAACGGGUGAGUAACACGUGAGUAACCUGCCCUUGACUUUGGGAUAACUUCAGGAAACUGGGGCUAAUACCGGAUAGGAGCUCCUGCUGCAUGGUGGGGGUUGGAAAGUUUCGGCGGUUGGGGAUGGACUCGCGGCUUAUCAGCUUGUUGGUGGGGUAGUGGCUUACCAAGGCUUUGACGGGUAGCCGGCCUGAGAGGGUGACCGGCCACAUUGGGACUGAGAUACGGCCCAGACUCCUACGGGAGGCAGCAGUGGGGAAUAUUGCACAAUGGGCGGAAGCCUGAUGCAGCAACGCCGCGUGCGGGAUGACGGCCUUCGGGUUGUAAACCGCUUUCGCCUGUGACGAAGCGUGAGUGACGGUAAUGGGUAAAGAAGCACCGGCUAUCUAC